AGCGCUGAGACCUACUUCUGUCGCUGCCAUCUUGAAAGUAGCAGAGCAGAGAACGUGCUGCGUGGACUAGUUUCAACCGUUUUACAGUACAAAGUGGACCCACUGCCUAUACCUUCCACAGAGGGAGAGGCAAUGAGAAACCUGUAACAGGCGCUUUUACCGUUGAUUUAUUGUUGCCAUGGUUACCUAGAAGUUCGCAAAACAAGUCACUGUUUGUCUGUGGCCAAGCAUGGUUACUUUAAGUGAACCUGAAGUGGACAGAAAGUACAUUAAUCCAGAGAGCAGCAUGGAGACCGCGGGAUUUAAUCAGGAUCGGUCCAUAAAGAUCAGAGCUGGAGCUGUUUUUCUUCAGACUUCUGUUUCGCAGUUCAUCUCCACAAUGUCUGUGUUUAGAUGCUAAGUCAAUGCCCCCAUAUGGUGAAGAUAUGUUUUUUUACUGAAUGUGAAUGAAUCAGGGAUUAUUUUCUAUUAUACUGUUAGACAAUUUUUGCCAUUCGCUUUAACCUGAGGCCAGCCAGAUGUCUCAGAAGGCCCAGUCACCAAACUGCUCCCGAUUA